ACAAAAGUUGGAAUAAGAAACGCUGAAUAGAGAACGGUCAAGUAUAUUAAACGUUUUCUAGAAGUAUAGAGUACGCAUUUCUCUUAUAACAGUUGUAUGAAGAAAAGAAUAGAGAACUGUCACCUUACCUAACCGUCUUAUAUUAUUUGCCAUAAUAAAAACAACUAUUUAAUUUAAAAUACUCGAUUAAAAUAAAGCUGUGUUUAUGAUAACUGUUGUGUAUUCUGGGUUUUAGAAAAAGAUUUUCUAAUAAAAAAAAGUUAAUAAUUUGUAUUAUUAGCGUGCUGCAAUGCCCAGUCAACUAAACCUAAAAGCAAGAGUACUAAUUAUUCAAUUGAAACCUAAAGUAAAGUAAUUAUGCGGUAAUCCCCAAUGUACUUCCCAAAAGAAAAAGCAAACUCCAAAAUAAGAAAAAGAAAACUAAGAGCAAACAGAAGGCAAGAUUGAAACCCCGGAAAAUCAAAGGAUCGUCGCGCCUUAACCACCGCCGUCCACCAAUAACCUCCAUUUACUGCCAACGGCUUUUCCCACCGCCUCCAGAAUUCCGGUGAAAGUCCUGUGUCCCGCCGCUUCCAUCAAUUCCGAGGGUACCACUGCCGCCCUAAGGUAUGCGAGAGGCACUCUAAGACGCCUGUUGUUAUUGUUUCUGGGAAGGAGCAGCGGUUCUGCUAGCAAUGUACCAGAUGUUCAUUGGAGACGGAGCAAAGCUUGUAGGUGAUGCUUUUCCACUUGCAAAGAGAAGGCUCUUUGUAUUAUAUUUAUUGACGAAAUGGAUGCCAUUGGUAUUAAGCGGCUUGACAGUGAACUGUGAGUGGUGACAGGAAAGUGUAACGAACUAUGUUAGAGCUGCUAAAUCAGAUAUAUUAUGUAACAACUACUGGGGAGCUUGCCAGGAUGGUUUGGAUUCGAAAAGCUCCUACUCUCCAACAGAUAUUCGUUCUCUAAUAGUGACUCUUUUUUCUUGUUAUUUUGUGCUUUUACCUUGCAAAUUGAUUUGAUUUCCUGAAUCCUGAUUAAUCCAACAAAUAUAUACCUGUCACUUUUGAGCAAUGUGAUUUGUUGUGACGA